rnacentral:rRNA from 1 species
CCUACGGGAGGCAGCAGUGGGGAAUAUUGGACAAUGGGCGCAAGCCUGAUCCAGCCAUGCCGCGUGGGUGAAGAAGGCCUUCGGGUUGUAAAGCCCUUUUGUUGGGAAAGAAAAGCAGUCGAUUAAUACCCGAUUGUUCUGACGGUACCCAAAGAAUAAGCACCGGCUAACUUCGUGCCAGCAGCCGCGGUAAUACGAAGGGUGCAAGCGUUACUCGGAAUUACUGGGCGUAAAGCGUGCGUAGGUGGUUUGUUAAGUCUGAUGUGAAAGCCCUGGGCUCAACCUGGGAAUUGCAUUGGAUACUGGCAGGCUAGAGUGCGGUAGAGGAUGGCGGAAUUCCUGGUGUAGCAGUGAAAUGCGUAGAGAUCAGGAGGAACAUCCGUGGCGAAGGCGGCCAUCUGGACCAGCACUGACACUGAGGCACGAAAGCGUGGGGAGCAAACAGGAUUAGAUACCCCAGUAGUC